UCCUCACCACCUCUACAUUGCCUUCUCUGCACAAACGCCACAAAGUGCUUGGAACAGGCUUGCCUUGACAUUAGCACCUCUUUCCACUUUGAAAUCAUAGUCAAAAGAGAAAAUCCUCUGACAGACCCUUUGUGGGAAUUUCAAGUUCCAUAAAUAGACAGAAUUGUACCAAAUCAAAUGCUACAUGCCAGCUAAAGCAUUUGCCAGAAGUUUGCAGGGAAGGGCUAUGACACACGAAUUCAUUUUUAAGUAGGCAAGCAGUUUGUAAUUAACUGGAGAACAUUUCAUUCCUAAUCAACAUGUUUACCGAGCACCCACAGGGCGGCCCAGGGCCUGUCUUUAAGAUCCGUAUCCACGCCGGAGAACCGAGACAUCAGGCUUAUGGCUGGCGUUCCUAAAAAGUGCCGCAUACAGCCAACCGAAAGGUGCUUCCUCCAGGUUAACAUUACAGGUGUUUACGUUUACCUGCUCUAACCUUGCUCAAAACUGAGGGGCCCACACUUCGAGGACUGACUUUAGAUCCUGUAACACAUCUUUCUACUUUCGCAGGUGGCAAGUCUGCGCCUUGAGGGGUUUUGUCUACAAUUUUUCUUUUUUUUAAUAGUAUAUGUUUUCUGUUUGCAGAUGCGGCCCGAAUCACUUGGGGUCAAUGUGUCCUUUAACACAGAAGAAUAGGGCCAAGGUGGUCAUCAUCAUUGGCACCGUUGUCGCUGUUGUUGUUGCAGUUGUGGGGGACACAGUAACAGCGAGGCGUAAGUACUGCCCAGGGGGUAAGCUCUGCUCUGAGUACUUCAGGUUCAUUUAGAGCAGGUCUAUGAGGUGAGAGCAACUGGUAUUGUUCUAGCCAAUUUAGAGCUGAAAAAUUAAAGCACAGAAAGGCAGUGAAUUUACUCAGUGAUACAAGGGAGAUAAGUGGGCUUUAAGGUAACAAUGUUUUAUACUCCAGACUUAUGGGGGUCCUUAUUUUUAACAGGGUCUGCACCGGGGAAAAUUCUUCUCCUCUAAAAAACUCUUCCAAAUACUCAAAGCAGUGCUAUCAUGAGUCUCUGAUCUCCUGUAUUUUCCAAGGUGUCCUACUGUUGCUGCAGAUAAGAAAUGACAUGGGCCAGGGAUUUAGUUCAGUGGCACCAUGUCUGCCUCGAAAGCACAAGGUCCUAAGUUCAAUCUCCAGUGCCAAUAAAAAGAAAUGACACCCAGCAGUAAUGCUCUGCACAUCCCAGAAACAGGGCAUCACUUCUAACAAAAAGCUGUUUAAUGGUCUCCUGGUUCAUGCAACUUGAGACUUUGGGUGACACUGGAAAUCGGUGAUGUCUUCACGUGAGCUGGAAAGCAUGGAUAGGAUGUGGAAAGUCCCGCCUCCAAGCAGAAGAGCAGCUCCAUGCUCAGUGCCCAGGAUACUGAGGGUGCAGACGGGAAGCAGGAACUGGGGGUACGUGGGUGUGGACUGAGCUACACUCCCAGGAAGAGCUGACACACAGGCGCCACACCCCAGGUCACACAGGUGACGGACAACCUCUCCCUGUGAUUUCUGGGGGCAGAGUCGAUCAGAGGGCGAGAUGGGUAAGGAAAUUAGGGCGGAGAGCAGUGUGGGGACAGGCUGGCUGCCACCAGGAAAAGCGAGCACCCCGACACAUUUCCUAAAAAGUAAUUUGGGAACCAUCGUCUCUUUUAGACCUAGAGAUGGAAGGGGGAGGAGGGGAGGAGAUGGAAAGGGAAAUAAGAAAGAAUCAAGAUAUGUUCUGUGUUUGUACCUGCUCCCUAAGAUGAAUGCAAACCCUGGGUAGUGAAGACAUGUACUAAUAAUAAAAUUUAAAAAAAAAGACUGAUGAGCGGCGAACGCAGCAAUGCUGCCUUGGGAGAGCUCUCCCUGGAGCCUCCCAGCAUCACAGCAUGGCAGCUUCACUGAGCCUGGGCUGUUCUGAGCGUCUGUCUUAAAACCAAGCACUUGCCCCCCUGAGGCUUGCUGCAGGCUCUUUCCUCAGCCAUCACGCUGUGCCCCGAUCUUCUCAAGGAUUCCUCCCUCUUACAAUUCAUGCUUCCGCUUACAAGUGCUCUCUUUCGAGUCAUCUCUGCCUCCCCAAAGCAGCGUGAUGGCCCAGACAGGACACUGCUCAUUCUCAUUCUGCGCAUGCUGCUGGGCUACGUCCACCGGGCCGGGACAGGAAAGCCUUCCUCUGUGCUCUCUCCCGGCCCCGGCAGGUGAUGGGCGGGAAGCGCGGCAGGUGAACGAAGGAGCGCAUGAUUGACGGGUGAGUGACUGGCACCGCCUUCCCGUGCCUUCGCACAGCUUCACUGAUUCAAAGCACAAGCUGACGUCGCUCGGAAUGAGCCAUGUCACCACAAAGGCGGCCUGAUGUAUCUCGGAGGCUUGAUUUAAGAUCAUGUUUUGUUUGUUUGUUUUCAUGUAAAAGUUGCAUGACUCUGGAAUUUUGGCCAAAGUCAACAGCAGUAUAAAACAACAGAGAAACUAUGGAUAAAUUCCACAAAAAUGAUGUCCCCUCUCAGUCAAGAAUUCUUGUGCUUCUGCUUCUCAAAUGCAAAACGAUCUCUAGAUGUGGGUGUUCUUUUUCAGGCCUAGGAAACUAUGAAUGAUGAUGGGUGCCCUUCUUUGGUUUUUCCAAAACGUGUUUUAUAAACCAGGAGUGGAAGAGGAUAAACUAGAAAGCAUCAAAUCAGAGCCCCAAGCCUUUUCUGAACCUUACAAGGUGAUUGUUCUGUUAUUACUCCUUUCUCUGCUAUUAAUGUUUCCAACUUUUAUCCACCUUCACCGGGCAGCUAUCAAGGUUUGAUAAACCAUGUCAUAAAGCUCUCAAAAAGGACCUGAGUUUGAUCCCCAGUACCAAAAGAAAAACAAACAAAAAAUAAAGCUCUCAUAUUCCUAAGUAGAAGGAGACUCAGGAAAAUGAAGUGGUUUUUUUGUCUGUUUGUUUGUUUGUUUUACUUUAUCUCCAGAUGACUGCUAACAGAAACAGUGAUAUCCCAACAACCUCAAAAAGACAUUGGUUUCUCUUUCUCCUGAUUAGAGCUCAAAACUUAGAGUACUCCAGAGUAAAUUGACCAUCAAUAUGCAUGGUGAGCAAAUUGAAAGGCCAGAGAAAAUCACCACUUAUUGAAAUAAAUGAGGAGCCAUUAAUUUAAUUGGCUCAGAAAGGGACUGAAAUUCCCUAUCUGAAAAAGCAGGCCUCAACUAAAAGCAAACUUUAGCACCCAGUCAAUGAAAGAUGACUCUAAACUGAAGGUGCAUUUAUCAAGAGUGAGCACCUAAACCAGUCUUCAAAUACACUCCACUGUUUCAUCCACUAAUACCAUCAGUGGAGCAUUCAGUGACCAUGGAAGGAACAUACGUGAUCUGAACAUUUGCCUCACAUGGCACUGGAAGGACUGGGCUAUACAGACAGAUGAAUACCUACGGGUGAACAGGUUUGGGUGUGCGCGAGGGAGAAAGAGACAGACAGACAGUCCACUAAGACUCCACUGUGAAACAGUGAUGUCAACCCAAAAAGCACUUUGGCCAGGACUGCCCUUCAUCUGCAGGCUGCUCUGACCCUGUGAUCUUUCUAAGUUGGGAUCCUUGUUUUGAACAUAUAGAAUCAAUAUAAUAGGGAACAAUAGAAUGUAGAACUAAUUCUGCCUCCCCAGUUGCCGCUUCAUGGGAAAAGGAUUUCAUUCACAGAAACCAUGAGCCCCCACUGCUUCAGCAAGCUGUGCUGGGUAAGAG
rnacentral:lncRNA from 1 species